AGAACGAACGCUGGCGGCAGGCUUAACACAUGCAAGUCGAACGAAGCCUUCGGGCUUAGUGGCGGACGGGUGAGUAACGCGUGGGAACGUGCCCUUCUCUACGGAAUAGUCUCGGGAAACUGGGGGUAAUACCGUAUACGCCCUUCGGGGGAAAGAAUUUCGGAGAGGGAUCGGCCCGCGUUGGAUUAGGUAGUUGGUGGGGUAAUGGCCUACCAAGCCGACGAUCCAUAGCUGGUUUGAGAGGAUGACCAGCCACACUGGGACUGAGACACGGCCCAGACUCCUACGGGAGGCAGCAGUGGGGAAUCUUAGACAAUGGGCGCAAGCCUGAUCUAGCCAUGCCGCGUGGACGAUGAAGGCCUUAGGGUUGUAAAGUCCUUUCGCUGGGGAAGAUAAUGACUGUACCCAGUAAAGAAGCCCCGGCUAACUCCGUG
rnacentral:rRNA from 1 species